UCAUAAUAUGUAUUAUGUUAGUAUAAGAAAGUAUUCAACAAUACAAUUACUAAUAAAAUUAAGGCUUAACAGUGUAAAAGCCCUCAAACUUUUUCAAAAAAGCAAUUAAGUCCCUGAUAUGUUUUUUUAAUUCAAUUGGGUAGUUCCAAUUAAAAAAUUAAAAAAACCCGAUAGACCAUCCUCCAAGUAUAUCUGUAGUUCCAAGUCUCGUCCUCCAUUGGAGAUAAAUAGAGGUCUUACCUACACUAGGACCGCCUCCAGUUGAUAUUAUGCUUCCCCAGUAGUUGGUAAAGCUUUCCUUUAUUUUGAAGGCCAUCAACUAACUUGAAUGAAAAUACAAACAGGAUGUAACAUAAGAACCCCAAAAUUCAUAGAAGCAUCGUAGAACAUCUCCAGAAACUUGAGUAACGUACGUGCCUUGUUCCAGUCAUCAAGGGUGGGAGCCCCUUCUGCAAGAGCAUUUAUAAAUUUUGGAUCAUCCUCUCAAAUGUAUUCUGAAGAGCCAGUAUGUUGAAUUCCAUCCUUAUUUAUGUCUUACAAUUUUGUGAUUUUUUUUAUUGAUUUUAAUAUAUAUUUUUUAUCAUUUAGUAGUAGCCAAAAAUGUACAUGGGUUUGGAAGCAAAUGACGCCAUAGAAAUUUUGUAGAAUCGACCUUUGGUCUUUAUAAAGAUGGGUUUGGAAAUAUAUAUGGGCUAUAAGAUGAAAUCAUUCAAAUUUGUGGCUUAAUCACAAACUUUGUAAAGCCCAUUUUAUUAUUCGUAACAAAAAAAAUGAACAUGGGAGUCACUAAAUCAACAUUCGAGUCCGAAGUUUAGGUGAUUUGAAAAUAGAUAAUAAAAGAUUAAAAAAAACAAAUAAGAUUAGUUUGAUAAAAGAGACGAUUUUGAAUUCAACAUUUAAGACGAUUCUUCAUAAUUAUCUAGAUAUUAAAAAUGUAAUACUUACCAACAAAGCUUGGGUUCGAGGAUAAAAAUUAUUGAAGGGAUUUUUGAGGUUUUAAUGUUCAAAUUUUCUCAGAUGAGUGAGCCAUUAAUCCUAUCCCAUAUAAUAUGCUAAUGAUUGGUUUAACAUAAAAUUAAUAUUUGAAGUUCAAAAAAUAUAACACUUUUUUUAUCAAUACAAAACAUUACUAAUUAAAGAAAGAAUGUUAUCACGAAAGCUUAAUCCUAAAUCUCAUCUAUCACCUCUUCCUUAUCUUAUAAUCACCUAUCAUUGUCCAAGCUUCACCUGACCUCAAAAGACCAAACGUACCACUUUUUCGUCUUCUUUUCUCAUGAGAGAAGUACUCUCUUUUUUGAGAGUUCAUGAACAAUAAAAAAAAAUUCAUCUUCUUGAAAAAGCUACAAGUUUCUCCUUUUUUUCACUAUGCUUUUAACACCAUCCAACCUUACGACUCUCCACUCUUCAAUAAUGAACGGUGACUAAAUUCUUAAUCUAAAACUUGUAUAAACAAAUAUAAAAAAUAAAAAUAAAAAAUUCAAGCCUACACUCUCUCAACAUUCAUCCAGUCCUCUGCCUCUAAACUCUCUUCAUCAUCGAUUAGGUGGACCGAGCUCCUCAGCAACCAUUCUCCUCUCCUCUAUACUCUCUCCUUAUUGAGCAUUGUAUCAACACCCCAUAACCAGACUCUUCAUCCUUCUUUACUCCCUUCUCCCUCUCCCAACACUCUCUCUUCUGUCUUUCAUCGUAUCCCAAUUCUCUCCAAAUCACCACACUCUCUAUUUCAUGGCAUUAAGCACUCUUUCUCUCCUUCUCUUUCCAUCCCUUCUUCCUCUUUCAAGUCUUCCAUUUCUGCCAAGGUACAUUCUUCUUUUUAAUUGGUUGAUUUGAUUGGCUAACCGCCCUCAGUGUUUGCUUAUGAUUUUUGGGGGGUUUUGCAGGUCGAGAAAGGUUUAGUGCCUCCAAUAUUCACGCUGAAAGAGCAAGAUGGGAAAAAUUUUAGCCUUUCCAUGUUAAAAGGAAACCUGUUGUCGUCUAUUUUUACCCUGCCGAUGAGAUCCCUAUCUGUACCAAGCAGGUGAUUGCUUUAAAAGCCUUUGUUUACCAGCUUUAAACCUGAGUCCAUGUUGUGUCGUAUCCGUAUUCCGUGUUUUGCGCUGAAAAGCAGUACUUUUUUAGGCAUGUGCUUUUCGAGAUUCUUACGAGAAAUUUAAGAAAUUUGGAGCUGAAGUUAGAGGUUUGCAAAAUUCGGGUAAAACUGAAAAAAUUCGGUUAAUCGACCGAAUUCGGUUAAUCGGUCGGUUAAUCGAAUUUUUUCGGUCAGGGGUCGGUUAAUUAUUUUUUGAUUUUUCGGUUAACGGUUAAUUCAGUUCGAAACCGGUCGGUUAACCGAAUUUUUUCAGUUUAACCGAAAAAAUUAAUAAAUAAAAUUAUAAUAUAUAUAAAUAGCCUCACUAUUCAACUAAAUCCAAUCCAAAACCAAGUAUUCAACCCAACCCAAUUACCCAACCCAACCCAACCCAAUCAUAAAAAUUACAAAUAAUUUAAUAAAUAAAAAUAAAAUUCUAAAGCUAAAACUAAAACUAAAGUCUAAAAAUAAUUUAAUUAUGUAGUGAUUCAAUUUGGUUAAUUCGAUUAAUUCGAGUAAUUCGGGUAAUUCGGGUAAUUCAGUUUAUUUUUAACCAAAAAUAAAAAACAUAUAAUUUUCGGUUAAUUCGGUUAACCGACCGAAUUAACCGAAAAAAUUUCGGUUCAGUUAAUUUUUUUGAAAAAAUUUCGGUUCGGUUAACGGUUAAAGAUUUUGAAAAGUCUGUUAAUUCGGUUAAUGUUAUUUCGGGUCGGUUAACCGAAUGAACACCCUAGCUGAAGUUGUUGGAAUAAGUGGUGAUGAUCCAUCAUCACUCAAGGUAAUAAUAAUACUAAUAGUGUCCAACACACCCGAGUAUCAUGUAAAAUCCAUCUCUUUUGAGAUCUUCUUCUGAAAACAAAGUCAUCUAUGGAAUCUGAAUUCUUAUUAUGUGUGAUCAUUAGAUAUUCUAUUUGUCUAUGUGAAUUUCUGAUGGUGCUCCAUACUGGAUACUUGUUCAUGUUAUACCAUGUCCACCGACCGAUGUUCGUAAAUUAACCGAUGAUCAGCUUGAUUUUUUCAUAUGGUAUUUUGCCAAGAGAUAUGGACUUCAGUUUACGUUGCAGAGCGAUGAGGGAAACAAGGUCAGGCAAGCGUGGGGAGUAGAAGAGGUAAAAGGGCAAACCCCAUAGCCAAUAAUGUGGAACAGUCCAAUGAAGUGUCCUUACCACCAUGGUGCACGGUUGCCCUUCGGGUCCUUCAUGCAACAUGGGAAAUCAAUAUCUUUCUAAUCAUUUUCAAUAUUCACUAAAGAAAAUAAAUCAAUUUCCGUGCCAACUCAUGCCAUUGUCAUCUCUAAUAUUAUUGAGUGAACCACUUACCAGCUCUGGUCUUAAAGUCAAAGUUAAAUAAUAAAACCCUAAUGCGACACAUGCAGAAAUUAUUAUUAUUGACUUUCAAAGGCAAAGACGAACGUUCAUGUCUGUUCUUGAUUUGUUCGUCCAUUUCUUCAAUCAUAAAAGUCUAAAUUGUGUUACUAACCCUACAAAUAUAUAUUAUGAAGAUGCAGUCAUGCAGAAUCCUUAAUGCAUUUGAAAUCAUAGUUUAAUUUUGUUUAAUCAAAGGUAAAUACACUUCUUUGCUACAAACAAAGAAAAGUAUGACGAUUUCAUUUUCCCAAUUUUUGGUUUAGUGGUGUCGAAACCAUUUUUUUAUAUUUCGAAAAAAGGGAUCAACUUUUAAAAUAAAAAC
rnacentral:lncRNA from 1 species